CCUACGGGAGGCAGCAGUGGGGAAUAUUGGACAAUGGGCGAAAGCCUGAUCCAGCAAUUCCGCGUGUGUGAAGAAGGCCUUCGGGUUGUAAAGCACUUUAGGUUGGGAAGAAAAGCUUCGGUGAAUAUCCGGAAUGUUGACGGUACCAACAGAAUAAGCACCGGCUAACUCUGUGCCAGCAGCCGCGGUAAUACAGAGGGUGCAAGCGUUAAUCGGAUUUACUGGGCGUAAAGCGUGCGCAGGUGGUUUCGUAAGUCGGAUGUGAAAGCCCCGGGCUCAACCUGGGAACUGCGUUCGAUACUGCGAGACUAGAGUUUGGUAGAGGGUGGCGGAAUUCCCGGUGUAGCGGUGAAAUGCGUAGAUAUCGGGAGGAACAUCAAUGGCGAAGGCAGCCACCUGGGCCUGAACUGACACUGAGGCACGAAAGCGUGGGUAGCAAACAGGAUUAGAUACCCUGGUAGUCCACGCCGUAAACGAUGAGAACUUGACGUUGGUUCGUUUUACGAAUCGGUGUCGUAGCUAACGCGAUAAGUUCUCCGCUGGGGNGACGCGCGAGUAGANANAAGAGUAGAGNGNGAGAGNGCGAGACGACGACGAGGAGAGG
rnacentral:rRNA from 1 species